GCAAAGCAGCUUUGACAACAAGAUCCUGUGGAUUUCCUUAGGUGCUACUGGAGUUGUUUGUACACUCGCAGUUUUCGUCAUACUAUUCUGUCAAAGGGCCAAAAUCGCGAAAUUUUUAAGAAGAAGUGAAAACCCCGACGUAGUGGACGAUGCAUUCUAUUACACAGAUAUGUCGAUGGGAAGACGCGAAUAUCAAUCUGCAAUUGAUAUUGUGACGUAUCAAAACGUGACUCCAAAUUUGUUACUAAACGAACCCAACUACAUCGAAUUGGAAUUCAACGUCCAGGAAAAUUCAAACCCAGCAGAAAAUGGAACUGCUGAAAUUAAUUCUACGAAUCAGUCUGAGAGUGUGACGUACGAAAAUGUGAUUCCAAAUUUGUUACAUAACGAACCCAUCAGCUACAUCGAAUUGGAUUUCAACGUCCAGAAAAAUUCAAACUCAGAAAAUGCAGCUGCUGAAAUUAAUUCUACGACCGGUCUUAACAAAAAGCGCGAU